AUACGUAGGGGGCGAGCGUUGUCCGGAAUUACUGGGCGUAAAGGGUGCGUAGGCGGCUACUUAAGUCAGAUGUGAAAUACCACGGCUCAACUGUGGGGGUGCAUUUGAAACUGGGUGGCUUGAGUGCAGGAGAGGAAAGUGGAAUUCCUAGUGUAGCGGUGAAAUGCGUAGAGAUUAGGAGGAACACCAGUGGCGAAGGCGGCUUUCUGGACUGUAACUGACGCUGAGGCACGAAAGCGUGGGGAGCGAACAGGAUUAGAUACCCUGGUAGUCCACGCUGUAAACGAUGGAUACUAGGUGUAGGGGGUAUCGACCCCCUCUGUGCCGGAGUUAACGCAAUAAGUAUCCCGCCUGGGGAGUACGGCCGCAAGGCUGAA
rnacentral:rRNA from 1 species